CUGGCAGCAAGGAGUAGGCAAGAGACACAUUCAUGUUGAAGAACUAUUGAUGAUAAAGAUUGAGAAGAUUGGAUCAGUUGUACUUUUUGUGGAAUACUUGGUGCAGCCCAGCCUCACCCAGACUCUACCUCCAGUGGCCCCCAGGGAUGACCCAGUUCCACCAGUAGUUUCACUCUAAUGCACCAAUCAAAAGAUGGCGUCAAGAUUAUUGAAAUGCAGAAACAAAAGCGGAGAAGACGAGGACUUAUUAGUUCCAGACAGUCAGCUUCUCAAGGGUUUCAUGAAGAAGGAGAAGCAUUCAACAGGACAGCUGAGGAGAGACGGGAAAUAUGGGGAGAGAGAGAGGGGGAAGACAUGCAGCAAACAGCGGAUGGACUCCAGGAUAAAUUUCUCUACAGGGACAUCAGAGUACUUCUCUAAAUGACUUCAGCCCCUGUAGCGCUCACACUCCAGCUGAGAUCUGCUCUCUACAACCAUGUCCAUCCAUCGGUCUGCUUCUCAGCCUCAUGAUGCAGAAACACCAACAUCUCAUUCAGAAGUACUCGGUUGCUAUGAUGCCAGAGCUUAGUGUCUUUAGAUAACAGCUGUUUACUCUUUUCUACUGGUUUUUCCUCUGUUCUUUGUCUCUAGCCUUUAGGAGCCGUAGUACACCAUUUGUGUUUGGAUCAGUAACACUUGUCAGAUCAGGAUGUGCCGGGCAGGAAUGAACACCCACUUCAGAUGUGUUGUGCUGCAGAAAAGGCAUCCUCACACCUGCUGGAUGUCCCUGGGAUAAUUGGCACAGAACAUCUUGUUUUUAGCCUUCUUUUUCGUGCAACAGGCCGACUGUUGUGAAGGUUUCUCUGUGGAAAAAAUGAUUAUGUUCCCUCGCUUUGUCUGUGCUCAACCUUGGCUGUGUCAUGUGACUAGUCAUUUCAAUCCUCCCUGGUUGUCAUGCCAACAGUAUAUCUGAGGCAGUCGUGCAGUGGAGAGAUGAGAUGUUUGUACUUCACAGAUGAACAGGCAGGUACAUACAGUAGGUCAGAGUGUAAGCUUUGCUUUGUCUUGGACACUUUUGAUUUUUUAAGGGACAUUUACACAAAAAAUGUUCAGUUAUCAACUCAGAGGCCUGCUGGUUAGAUAAAAACGUGCCUGUAGGUAACCUUAUUUUUUCAUAUUGAUUGUUAAAGUUGCAUUCUGCUGUUCCUUUUUGCAAGCCUUUUUAAAUGUUCUCAUUAUCUCUCAUCAUUUUAUCAAAAUCAAAUUUUAACAAUUUCCAACAAUGUAUUGAACUUAGUUCUUCCCAGUCCUUUUUUAAAACACACUUUUUCCCAAAAAAGUGCAUUAUGUACGGCCACUGACAAGGGCAAAUGAUUGCCAAUGACUGAGAUAUCUUUUAUUGGGACAAACAUCAUGAUCAGAAAAACUGCAAAUUAGAAAGCACAUGCAAACUUGAAAAUAGAAAAUCAACAACUGAAAUACGCUGCAAAUGGAAGAAAUACGCUGCAAGAAGCCGAAACUAUGCACAUAAAUGGUACAUGUUAAUUAUCGGAUGGUUGUAAAUGUUAUCUUGCCAGAUUAUCCUGCAGUGU